rnacentral:rRNA from 1 species
UACGAAGGGGGCGAGCGUUGUUCGGAUUUACUGGGCGUAAAGGGCGCGCAGGCGGCCGCAUUUGUCAGGCGUGAAAGCCCCGGGCUUAACCUGGGAACUGCGUUUGAUACGGUGUGGCUAGAGUUCGGGAGAGGAGAGUGGAAUUCCCAGUGUAGAGGUGAAAUUCGUAGAUAUUGGGAAGAACACCGGUGGCGAAGGCGGCCUUCUGGACAGUAACUGACGCUGAGACGCGAAAGCGUGGGGAGCAAACAGG